AUGGUCCUACUCAGAGCAGACCCAUUGACAUUAAUGCACCUAACAUUUCUGUUAAUGUUAAUGGGUCUACUCUGAGUAGGGCUAG